GCACAGAAGUGACGUUCGGUUAAGUCGAAGGAUCGAUAAAUCUAUCGGAUCUCUAUUAACUUCAGGAUAUAUUCACUUAACGGAACAUCGUAUAACUCGUGGGUUUCGCGAUGGCCAAUUAAUUAACUGGUAAUUAGUAUGUAAAUGUGACGUCACGUAUCUGAGAGUACCCUGGCCCGAAACGGCACGCAAUCUCGAGUGCUGCGAAGGCUUGGAACAACCGGGAAACCUGACUACGACCAGGCAAAGGGCGGAGGAACCACUUUGAUCAGCGGAAGUGAUUAACUUGAUGAAGGUGGCAUAUGUUUCUACUCCUACUGGUUGCUACUGUGUUUGCACCCUAGGAGUCUAGCUCGUGAUCUCAAACCGAAGGGUCAAGACAGGAAUCCUUAAAGUUCCUAGGAUCGUGAAAACUCGUAAAAACGUGAAUGGAAGUGGCAGUGCCUUCAAAGUGAAGAUAAACGAAAUCGAUCGUAGUAUGAUAUCUGACUUCCACAUACGUGACAAUACUGUUAUUCAGGAAUAAGAUUUUCGUAGAAGAAAAAUACUGAUAAAAAUUGCAACCUUUCAAUAUUCCAAGAAACGAUAUAGCAUUUAUCGUGAAUGACACGAUGAUUCUUUGUCGGACUAGAAAAGAAAAGUGCUCCGAAAAGUCUUCUCCGCAUUGAAAUUUCCAAACACGACAUUUUAAGGCUUGAGAAAUACUGUCAUCUCGUUCGAACGAUAUAGGCGGACAUAUUGAUAUUCACGUCAGGAAUAGAUAUAUUUCCCAUUCGAUAUUUCGCAUUGUGAUUCAGCAACAGACUAUCAAUCGUAGUAUCGACAGUGAUGGUUUAAAAUAUUUGACAGAGGCUAAAGGC